rnacentral:tRNA from 2 species
CGAGGUGUAGCGCAGUUUGGUAGCGCACCUGGUUUGGGACCAGGGGGCCGGAGGUUCGAAUCCUCUCACCUCGACCA